UUAUCCGGAAUUAUUGGGCGUAAAGGGCUCGUAGGCGGUUCGUCGCGUCCGGUGUGAAAGUCCAUCGCUUAACGGUGGAUCCGCGCCGGGUACGGGCGGGCUUGAGUGCGGUAGGGGAGACUGGAAUUCCCGGUGUAACGGUGGAAUGUGUAGAUAUCGGGAAGAACACCAAUGGCGAAGGCAGGUCUCUGGGCCGUUACUGACGCUGAGGAGCGAAAGCGUGGGGAGCGAACAGGAUUAGAUACCCUGGUAGUCCACGCCGUAAACGGUGGAUGCUGGAUGUGGGGCCCGUUCCACGGGUUCCGUGUCGGAGCUAACGCGUUAAGCAUCCCGCCUGGGGAGUACGGCCGCAAGGCUAAAACUCAAAGAAAUUGACGGGGGCCCGCACAAGCGGCGGAGCAUGCGGAUUAAUUCGAUGCAACGCGAAGAACCUUACCUGGGCUUGACAUGUUCACGACGGUCGUAUAGAUACGGCUUCCCUUCGGGGC
rnacentral:rRNA from 1 species